rnacentral:lncRNA from 1 species
UUCGUUAGGCUUUUGAGAGUGCACCUGAAUUUAAUUGCCUGCAAUCCUUGUCCAGGAAUGCAUUACCGCUGAACUGAGAGAGCUGCCGAGAAGAGAAGAUGGAUGGUUUCUGUGAGGAUUUCAUCUAUCUAAUUAUUUCUCCCUGAUGACAUAGCUACUCCAGAUUUUUCAUCUUACUCUAAUCACAGCCAACAAGAUGGAGAUUUACAGUUGGCAGAAGCUGUUCAUGUGAAUUAUAUCAGAUACAGAAACAUUCACUGUGAAUUAUUCUAAAGCCAGUGCUUUUGUUCAUGUGAGUUAUCAAAGUAACUCUCCAGUCAUUAAAAAUCUUAUUCCUUGAAAUAAAUAGGUUCCCAAAGUUGGAGGAGGGGGGGAA